AUUGAACGCUGGCGGCAGGCCUAACACAUGCAAGUCGAGCGGAUGAAAGGGGCUUGCUCCUGGAUUCAGCGGCGGACGGGUGAGUAAUACGCAGGAAUCUACCUAGUAGUGGGGGAUAACGUUUCGAAAGGGGCGCUAAUACCGCAUACGUUCUGAGGAAGAAAGCAGGGGAUCGCAAGGCCUUGCGCUAUUAGAUGAGCUUGCGUCCGAUUAGCUAGUUGGUGGGGUAAAGGCCUACCAAGGCGACGAUCGGUAACUGGUCUGAGAGGAUGAUCAGUCACACUGGAACUGAGACACGGUCCAGACUCCUACGGGAGGCAGCAGUGGGGAAUAUUGGACAAUGGGGGCGAACCCUGAUCCAGCCAUGCCGCGUGUGUGAAGAAGGACCUCGG
rnacentral:rRNA from 1 species